CCUACGGGAGGCAGCAGUGAGGAAUAUUGGACAAUGGGCGCAAGCCUGAUCCAGCCAUGCCGCGUGCAGGAUGAAGCAUCUAUGGUGUGUAAACUGCUUUUAUACAGGAAGAAACCUCCCGACGUGUCGGGAAUUGACGGUACUGUAAGAAUAAGGAUCGGCUAACUCCGUGCCAGCAGCCGCGGUAAUACGGAGGAUCCAAGCGUUAUCCGGAAUCAUUGGGUUUAAAGGGUCCGUAGGCGGGCCAGUAAGUCAGUGGUGAAAUCUCUCCGCUCAACGGGGAAAUGGCCAUUGAUACUGCUGGUCUUGAAUUAUUAGGAAGUAACUAGAAUAUGUAGUGUAGCGGUGAAAUGCUUAGAGAUUACAUGGAAUACCAAUUGCGAAGGCAGGUUACUACUAAUGGAUUGACGCUGAUGGACGAAGGCGUGGGUAGCGAACAGGAUUAGAUACCCUGGUAGUCCACGCCGUAAACGAUGGAUACUAGCUGUUGGGGGCAACUUCAGUGGCUAAGCGAAAGUGAUAAGUAUCCCACCUGGGGAGUACGUUCGCAAGAAUGAAACUNAAAGGAAUUGACGGCUGAGAGNGCGAGAGACGACGAGGGAGAGG
rnacentral:rRNA from 1 species